rnacentral:lncRNA from 13 species
CUUGAAAGAAAAGUAGGAUUUAGGUAUGUGGAAAGAGAUAGAAGCUUUCACUCAUGGCGGUUGUGUUGGGCAGAGAGCAGAAAAAGGAAGAUAUCUCUAACAGGUAAGGGCUCUAUUAGCACAGACAAGAUAGGAAACCAUCCAGGGAGUCUGUCCAGAAUGCAGAAGGUGAGUAGGAUAGAUGACAAGCUCCAAAGCUUUUGCCAAGCACUGUUGAGAGGUGGCUGCAGAAGUGAGGGGAAGGUGAGUUCCCCAAGCCAUCCCUGUCGCUGCUAAAUCAAUACCUGUCAGGGCCCAGCAAGAGGGAGAGAAAGGCUGCAAGGAGGUCAGACUUCUUAGGGUUCUCUGAAGUCUGCAUGCGGAGCUCUCAACUGGCAGGCAUGCAUUUUGCAAGAUUCUGUGGAUGCUGAGAGGGGAGCAUCAGGCAGAAUUAUGACUCCUUUUCUAGGUGGAGAGAAAUGGAAAAAGUGUCCAGGACAGUUGCCCUUCCUGGCACCUAAAGUCCAGACUGGAAACUUGUUUGGAGACUAGAGGUUUAUGUUUGCUGUAAGGAUAUUUCUCAAAGUCUCAGGUUCUCAGGCAAGAUGAGGAGGCUUUAUCAUAGCACAGGAGAAUACAUUAGCUAAAACUCUUGUUGUCAGAGGAGCUGGGCCCCUCAGCCAGAGUGCCACAGGGAAAACAACUUCUCUGCUGCCUUCCCACCGCCUUUCACUCAGUUUUCUCCUGUGGUGCCUGGCCCAGUGAAGCCCUUCUCAACAGAGCAUUGUUUUUCCAACUGUGCUCUGGGCAUUUCCCAAAAUUGUCUCCAUGGCCACAGGAGUGACAAUUGAAGGGAGGGGAGAGGAGCCAACAGGGCCCAGCCAACACCUAUAGCUCAGCAGAAACACUCCAUUCUUUUGGUUUAUAUAUUACGAGCUUUAGUCUAAGGUUUUGUUGAAGGAAAGCCUUUUAUUAUCCAACACUCCCCACCACCAGUAAACCUAGACCAAAAAUGUGUGUUUUUCUGUGCCUUUCUUAGGGCAUGAUACAUAGCAAGUCUAGUCAUGUACCACAUAAUGACGUUUUAGUCGACAAUGGACCAUACAUACAAUGAUGGUCCCAUAAGAUGAUGGUGCCAUGUUUUUACUGAACGUUUUCUAGGUUUAGAUACACAAAUACUUAAGUAUUAACAUUGUGGUACAAUUACCUACAGUAUUCAGUUAAAAAACAUGCUUGUAGUCUAGGAGCAAUAGGCUAUCCCAUGUAGCCUGGGUGUGUAGUGGGCUAUACCAUCUGU